rnacentral:misc_RNA from 1 species
GAUGAAGAACGUAGCGAAAUGCGAUAAGUAGUGUGAAUUGCAGAAUUCAGUGAAUCAUCGAAUCUUUGAACGCACAUUUCGCCCCUUGGUAUUCCAUGGGGCAUGCCUGUUCGAGCGUCAUUUGUACCUUCAAGCUCUGCUUGGUGUUGGGUGUUUGUCUCGCCUCUGCGUGUAGACUCGCCUCAAAACAAUUGGCAGCCGGCGUAUUGAUUUCGGAGCGCAGUACAUCUCGCGCUUUGCACUCAUAACGACGACGUCCAAAAGUACAUUUUUACACUCUUGACCUCGGAUCAGGUAGGGAUACCCGCUGAACUUAAGCAUAUCAAUAAGCGGAGGA